UACGUAGGGUGCGAGCGUUGUCCGGAAUUAUUGGGCGUAAAGAGCUCGUAGGCGGUGUGUCACGUCGGCCGUGAAAACCUGCAGCUUAACUGUGGGCGUGCGGUCGAUACGGGCAUCACUGGAGUUCGGCAGGGGAGACUGGAAUUCCUGGUGUAGCGGUGAAAUGCGCAGAUACCAGGGGGAACACCGGUGGCGAAGGCGGUUCUCUGGGCAUUACCUGACGCUGAGGAGCGAAAGUGUGGGGAGCGAACAGG
rnacentral:rRNA from 1 species